GCACUGCUGACGAGUCCAAAACAGGACGAAACAACUGUCCAGUGC
rnacentral:hammerhead_ribozyme from 1 species